GAUGAAGAACGCAGCGAAAUGCGAUACUUGGUGUGAAUUGCAGAAUCCCGUGAACCAUCGAGUCUUUGAACGCAAGUUGCGCCCGAAGCCACUAGGCCGAGGGCACGCCUGCCUGGGCGUCACACGCCGUUGCCCCCCCAUCUACUCCUUCGGGAUUGCGGGGGGGCGGAUGAUGACCUCCUGUGCGCCUAGCCGCGCGGUUGGCAUAAAUACCAAGUCCUCGGCGACGCACGCCACGACAAUCGGUGGUUGCGAAACCUCGGUUGCCCGUCGUGUGCGUUCGUCGCGCAUCGAGGGCUCGAAAAAAUGCUCGGCUCCGGCUGGGCUUUCAACGCGACCCCAGGUCAGGCGGGGUUACCCGCUGAAUUUAAGCAUAUCAAUAAGCGGAGGA
rnacentral:misc_RNA from 1 species